GAUGAAGAACGUAGCGAAAUGCGAUAAGUAAUGUGAAUUGCAGAAUUCAGUGAAUCAUCGAAUCUUUGAACGCACAUUGCGCCCCUUGGUAUUCCGAGGGGCAUGCCUGUUCGAGCGUCAUUAUAACCCCUCAAGCUCAGCUUGGUGUUGGGCCCCGCCGCCCCGGCGGGCCCUAAAGUCAGUGGCGGUGCCGUCCGGCUCCGAGCGUAGUAAUUCUUCUCGCUCUGGAGGUCCGGUCGUGUGCUCGCCAGCAACCCCCAAUUUUUUUCAGGUUGACCUCGGAUCAGGUAGGGAUACCCGCUGAACUUAAGCAUAUCAUAAGCGGAGGA
rnacentral:misc_RNA from 1 species